rnacentral:rRNA from 1 species
CCUACGGGUGGCAGCAGUGAGGAAUAUUGGUCAAUGGGCGAGAGCCUGAACCAGCCAAGUCGCGUGAGGGAAGACGGUCCAGUGGAUUGUAAACCUCUUUUGCCAGGGAGCAAAAAGCGGUACGUGUCCCUCAUCGAGAGUACCCGGAGAAAAAGCAUCGGCUAACUCCGUGCCAGCAGCCGCGGUAAUACGGAGGAUGCGAGCGUUAUCCGGAUUUAUUGGGUUUAAAGGGUGCGCAGGCGGAGAGUUAAGUCAGCGGUAAAAUUUCGGGGCUCAACCCCGUCAAGCCGUUGAAACUGGCGUGCUAGAGUGGGCGAGAAGUAUGCGGAAUGCGUGGUGUAGCGGUGAAAUGCAUAGAUAUCACGCAGAACUCCGAUUGCGAAGGCAGCAUACCGGCGCCCAACUGACGCUGAGGCACGAAAGCGUGGGUAUCGAACAGGAUUAGAUACCCGGGUAGUC